rnacentral:rRNA from 1 species
CUUGUAGGCGGUUUGUCGCGUCUGCCGUGAAAUUCCCUGGCUUAACUGGGGGCGUGCGGUGGGUACGGGCAGGCUUGAGUGCGGUAGGGGAGACUGGAAUUCCUGGUGUAGCGGUGGAAUGCGCAGAUAUCAGGAGGAACACCGGUGGCGAAGGCGGGUCUCUGGGCCGUUACUGACGCUGAGGAGCGAAAGCAUGGGGAGCGAACA